CAAGUCUGCCAAUUUUCAGGUAGAUAAGCCGUGGACUUCUGCAUCAUACCUGAGAUCUGCUCCCAUAUUCACACAUGGCCCUUUUGGGAGCCGAUCAGUUUAAUGUAGACCUCAUUGCUUCCCUCCUCAACAGGACGCACCAUUGCUUUUUUGGCAUAGGCAUCAUUGCUCAAAGUUUCCUCCAGGUAUUCCCUUCAUAGCACACCAGCACGGCCUGGCAGCUAUAGUUCCCUUGAUGUAUUUGUCGGAAAACGCUCCGGUGAAAGCAAGAGAAGGGCCUGGUCAUCGCACAUGGCUAAGGAAGUUUUGGUGUCAGGUCUCUGUUCCUUCAUAAGAUCUUCAAGACUGCUGUUAUUUCCAGAUCAGCUCAGCGAGAACUGAGACAUCCGACUCCCUCUGCUUUUGAAGUGCUUGGCUUCACAAGACUGGAGAUAGGUGUGGGCUGGUGUUAAAUUUGCUUGCAAAAUGGAGACAAGUCCAGUGGAAAAUUUGAUGUUUAUUGUUUUCUUCAAGCUUCCUACGAUUUUCAAGCAGCUGUAGGUGAAACUUGAGGUAUUAAAUAGCCACGUCAUCACCAAACAAAAGAGCAAACGUAGAACUAUGGCUACCUUUUUUCUUAGAAGGCCAGGAGAGCUCCUUCUUGAAGGAAAAGGACACCUAACGGAGCAUGCAACCUGUAAUUUAUACUUCACCGAGAAUUCUGGAAAACUAGGGAAGUUAGUAUCCAAAGAUCACAACUGCAUCCACCUUCCUAACAGGCAAUACCAAAACAUAACUUCCCAAAUGGAAUUUCUGCAGUUUUGGGAGGAUGAGAUCUUUUGGAAUUCAAACUUUAUCCACAUCUUUCCACAUCCAACUGUUCUCACAGUAAGACGGCAAAAAAGAGAUUGUCUCUCAUGCAUGGAUCAAGAAAGCAGUGUUCUAAACCACAAGGUGAAUGAAUCGGGCACUGUGUGUGAAAACAGAUUAAGCAGCAGAGAUCACAAGCUCAUUUUCCACCUCACAAAGGUGUGGGGCUGAUGGUGAAUGGGAAGGGACAGUUAUGAAGAAAAUACGAGCAAAUCACGGAGUUCUUUACAGCGCUGAAUCAAAGCAUCAGAUAAAGGAGGAAGGAGUGGCUGGCAGCCUGACUUUACUGCCCCAAAGCUUGCCAUAGCAGGCUCAGCUCAGCUCUGUAGAGCAUUCUCAUGCCAUUGCUGAAGGUGGGGCAGAGGAUGCUCGGCUCUUUGAUGUGUCUAUGUAUUGAACAGCAAUGACCCCUUUAGAUGAGCAGGAAGCUUUUACACAGGAAUUUGUUUAAUGUUGUAACCCAGUCCAGUUCCAACAGUUACAAAGGGUGAAAUUUCCUUUUGUUUUAGAUCUCUGUUCAAGUUUGGGGCUUCAUGCGUUGCCUGUGCGGUGAUCCUGUGUAAAGUCCUGGCCUCAUUUUGAUUUACGGUCAAAGCCCUAUAGACUCCAGGUCAGAAUUUUACCCCAUUCUCUCCUGACUGGCUAUAACUGGUUCUUACAGAUGUAAUCAACUCUAGAUAAAUUAAUCAUGCUUUUUACACCUUUUUUUAAGACUUAAGCUACUGUCUGACACAUCCUUGCUAACUACUUACCCAGACUAACUACACUGUAGUUGCAUUUCAGCAAUGUACAUAAUUUUACUGGUGGAAACGUCAUAUAAAGUGUAAUUUUGAAAAGAGAAUUAAAAAAUCUAAUCUUACGUAAUUCAGUUGAAUAGUGGCUUAUUCUAGGACUACUGCAGCACCUCUCAUGCCUUUGGCCAUGGUAUAUACAUCACUAUAUAUUUACUAUGUUGAAGUAAUCUAUUUUCUUGUGUUCACAUUCUUUUAAAGAACCUUCAGGUAUUUUAGAAUUGUCACCUGCCUCAAAAUGUGGGCAGUCAGUAAGAGAAGAAAAAUUAUGGCAGAAGCUCAGUCUUAGCCAUUCAUGAUUUCUUAUGGUACUUGCUUCUGAGAGCAAUCUGAAGGUCUCUAGUGUAAGAGAGGUGUGAGGCCUCUAGAACUUUGAAUGUUCAUGUUAUAAAGUACAUACACUGUGAUGAAGUCACUGCCCAAUCUGUUCUGUGACAAACUAAAAAUACAUGGUUUAAGACUUUUAAGGCAUUGUUUUGUAACCUUGGAACCACUUUUUGCAGCUCUUGUCUCAGUUUAUAUCAACCUGCCAUCAUAGAAGUGUUCUAGUGUGGAUCUCUCCAGUACUGUACACAGAGGUUUAAUCAACACUGCACUUCUGCUGAUGACUCCCUUACUGAUAACUCCAAACACUCCACCCCUUUUCAUUAGUGGUAACAUCUUCUUGAGUUGUCUCCUGGCUAAGACUCAUGGGACUUUUCCAGUGCAAAGAGCAAAUCUAGUAAAGACAUAAAGAUGGAACCUCCACCCUUGGAGAUAUUCAAAAGCUGUCUGGACACAGUCCCGGGCAACUGCUCCAGAUGAACCUGCUUUACCAGGGGUGGCUGGACAAGAUGAGCUCCAGAGGUCCCUUCCAACCCCAACCAGUCUAUGAUUCUGAAAUUACGUGCACAGUUUAAUUGUUUUGAAUUCUAUGAUUUCAAACCUUUUACAGUAAAACAUACACAAAAAACAUGUUGCACUUGGCAUCCUCUAAUUAAAAUAUAAAAAUCAAGGCAGAGUUAGGGGACACUCCCAAGUACCCUGAAGUCAGAGGCAAAACUGUCUUUACUGUGAUUUCUCUAUAGUCAUCUAGUGACUGGCAGAGCUGCAAAUGAUCUCUAGAGAACAUUUCCUUCCUUUAUCACAGAGCAUCCAGCAGAAAAUUACCAGCAUCAAAAUGUUUUAGUAAUAAUGGCAAAGUAUUAUCUGAAUCUUAAUCAAAAGAUUACAGAAAAAACAUGUUCAAACAAAAGAGGUCAAAUGUUUUGGAACUUCAGGAGUAUAUUCUUCCCUUGGUAUUUGCUGUGUUCCAUUAAAAAUAAUGGAAGUUCUGUAAGCACAAUCCAGUAGAAGAAGGACAUAUCACUAAGCUUCUAGCAAUAUUGUUUUAACAGCUUUUGAAACAUAUCACUAGGAAGCAGAUGUGGCUCGUAUUAAGAAAGUACUGGAGUUAAUAUGUCAAAACUCUUCAUAGUUCCUUCAGGUAAAAGUAAGCAUAAUAAAAAAGUUAUCAUUUUUGUCAUAUUUGCUUCAGUUUUAAUAGCACACAUCAAAGACUGACAAUACGAAGUAACAUGCGUUACACACUGACACACCUUCCAUUGCACAUGAACACAAAUGUGACUUAUUAGUUUUAAUG